AAUAUUCUGUUGUGCUGCAGCAAGUAAGAAUUUAAUUGUCCUAUCUGGGACACAUGACAAUAAAACACACUCGACUCAUUUUGAGUUAUAAAUUAGAGAAUUCAAUGUUCGCUGUCCCUCCUCCCAGAUGCAACAAGGACAUAGUUCCUUUUGUCCUCACCUUUCACUUAACCCCCCCCACCCUCGUCUCCUCAUCCAAUAUAUUAGCCUCCAACAGUUCCGUCAUCUCCUAAGGUUUGCCCACCACUAAUCACAUUUUUCCAUCAAAGAUUAUAGAGGAGAUCUUUGCUUUCCAUCUCCACCCUUUCUGCCUUCCGCAGUUACUUUCAGUCUGAAGAAGGGUCUCGAUCCGAAACGUCGCCUAUUCCUUCUCUCCAGAGAUGCUGCCUGACCAGCAAAGUUACUCCAGCAUUUUGUAUACGAAGGAACUGCAGAUGCUGGAAAAUCGAAGGUAGACAAAAAUGGUGGAGAAACUCAGUGGGCGAGGCAGCAUCUGUGGAACGAAGGGUCUCGCCCUGAAACGUCGCCUAUUCCUUCCCUCCAGAGAUGCUGCCUGACAACCAGCUAAAUUGUUACUCCAGCAUUUGCAUCUAACUUCGGUGAAUGAAAUGCUGGCGGUGGAGCAGACUGCCACCCAGAGGCGAUGCUCAGUAACUGCAAGUCGGCGGCAAUUUGGCAAAAGCUGCUUCCUUUUAAGGAAGAAAUGCAAAUGAAGCGAGUAGCAGGGAAAAGCGGGCAAAUGUGAAAAAGAUCAGAGGCAAAACGAGAAAUGAAAGGCGAAAAUAUGUCCUUUUUUCUGUUUUCGGCAAUCAAGUGCAAUAUAAGAUGUUAAAACUGGCUCGUACUGACUUGAAAGAGUAAUGGUAGAGGUUGGCUGGGAGGAGCAACGAUAUUCUAGCAUACUUACCUGGCAGGGGAGACACCAUGAUCACCAAGGUGGUUCUCCCAGGACGAGGCUAUCCCAUUGCACUUCGGGUGUGCUGACGCCUGCGAUGUCCCCAAAUGCGGGAUACUCGACUGCAAAAUUUGUGGUAGUGGGGGACUGCGUUCGCGCUCUCCCCUGAUUUACAAAUGAAAAAUAGA